rnacentral:rRNA from 1 species
UACAGAGGUCCCGAGCGUUGUUCGGAUUCACUGGGCGUAAAGGGUGCGUAGGUGGUUGGGUAAGUUUGAUGUGAAAGCUCAGGGCUUAACCCUGAAAUGGCAUUGAAUACUACUUAACUGGAGGUUUGGAGGGGGACUGGAAUUCUUGGUGUAGCAGUGAAAUGCGUAGAUAUCAAGAGGAACACCAGUGGCGAAAGGCGAGUCCCUGGACAACACCUGACACUGAGGCACGAAAGCUAGGGGAGCAAACAGG